CAUUAUAAUUAUAUUGCCCUGCUUUGGAAACUUCUGGGAACUGAAAACUCCACACAUGGGCUUUGGCUAAGAGGAGUGUGAGCCAGCAGUGUGGCUGGGAUGAAAACUACCUGCCUGUGGAAGUUAUGGGCUCGGAGCAAACACAGCAUCCGAACACACUGGAAUCGCAGCGCUGUCUUAACACAAGGACUCAGAAUCACACCGAUGAAUUCCUGGACCCAAUUGUGCCUGACACCAGCUUCCUGUGUUUGAGAGCAAAAAAUUGGGAAUAACCUAAACAUUCAUCAGUACAAGAUUGACUUGAGUCAAGGGCAAUCUGCUUCUAAAACGCAACGAGAUUUUCCGUUUUGAAAGUGUGGUAGACCUGAUGAUUUGGACGACAGUCCAGGAUGUAAGUGGGGUGAGUGGGGUGACUGGUAACUUGGUGAGUGGGGAAUGUGGCAAGUUGCAGAGUGUUUCCAACGUCCCACUGGAGCAGAAGCCGGGUCUCUUGUUCACCACUGUCUGAGGACACCUGGUGCAGAACCUGGCCUCAGGAAGUGCUUGAUAAAUGUGCCUAUUAAUACCGUUGUCAGCAGGCCGUAAAUAAAUGAUGAGCAAAUCCUACUUUGUAUAAUCCUAUGUAGAGGCGUGGAAAAAACUUGGAAGGAACCUCGUGAAAACGUUAAUAGAGCUUACCCCUGUUUGGAGCAGAAUUAGCCAGGUGGGGA